UACGUAGGGGGCAAGCGUUGUCCGGAUUUAUUGGGCGUAAAGAGCGUGUAGGCGACUUUGCAAGUCCGUUGUGAAAACUCGAGCUCAACCUCGAGACGCCGGUGGAAACUGCAAAGCUAGAGUCCGGAAGAGGAGAGUGGAAUUCCUGGUGUAGCGGUGAAAUGCGCAGAUAUCAGGAAGAACACCCGUGGCGAAGGCGGCUCUCUGGGACGGUACUGACGCUGAGACGCGAAAGCGUGGGGAGCGACCAGG
rnacentral:rRNA from 1 species